UUCCUUGUUUUCUUUUGUAAACACCUACCUGAGAAGGAUGCAAAGCUUAAUGCCACUUCUAAAAAUAUUCGGACAAAACAGGUUUUCUAAAACAGUUCUGGAAAUGCUAAAUUUGGUUGUUGUUUAUCUGGGGGAGGGGGUCACAUCUGCUUUAUUAUUUUUUCCCCUAAGGCAAAGCAGAAGCAGUGUCAGUACCGACCGCUGCUCAUCCUUAUCCUUUCUGCUGCUGCACUUUGAAGAGCCCAUCAAUAAUCCUACGGGCAGCAGCUUUCCAGGGAGAUGGCCCCACAGAAAAACAGGAAUCCCUUAUCGGAGGGCAGGAAAUUCUAUUUUUACACGGGAGUUCAGAUUAAAAAUAAAAAGGGAAGAUCUGCACAGGACUCGCGGGCUAAAAUUAAACCUUUAUAUUCUCCUCUCCCCUGCUGCUCUCCGUGUGGGGAAGGCAGCGAUGCAUGCCAAAAGGAGGCUGCUGGUGCUGGCUGCGCCUGGUGGGCUUUGCCCUGCUGCAGUUAGCACAGCUGAGCAGCAGGCUUUAGGCUUUAUGAGCGUGCAUUAAUUAAAGCACCCUGAAUCUCUGCUGGUGGCACCUUGCUCAUUCUGCUGGGGAGCCGCCAGCUCCUUCCAGGCUUCCCUGCCUUGGCUCUGCAGAGCUGCACCGUGUCCCGAAGGCCUUUUUGCUCGGCUUGCAAAAAACAAUUAGCACAUACCCAGCGAAGUCACCCUGCACGGGGUGGCAUCUCCUCGCUGAUCACGCCGAUGUUUUUUUAUCCAUGUGCGGUUUAUGCACGUGUGUCAUCUGCCGCCUGCCUGGGAAAGCCCCUUGCAGAUGCAAAUGGGAAGCAGGCAGGUUUCUGAGCUCAGCUGGGGGCUUUUCACGCUACCGGAGUUUCUGUGAGAGAUGCUGUGACCCUGCUGGGGGCUUUAAACAGCAGAAAAGGGUUCUUGCUGAUAUCCCCUGCUGGCUUCAUCAGCGCCCAGCCAGGAGCGUGUGCUCUGGGGCUUGCAGCGCAGCAGGUUACGCUGACACAGCCCCAAAAAGCAAGGAGUCACCGAAUGUCAGAGAGAGGGAUGCAGGAGGUGUUGGGCUAGGACAGCACGGGCAGCCUGGGGGUCUGCAGGCCCAGCAGCAGCUCCUGUGCUCCCCCGGUGCCACACAGUGCCCCUGCACAACACCAGCUCCCAUUUCUUCCUUCUGAGAGGGAAAAAGCCAAAGCUGGUCUGAGUGUGAGGACCCAGAAGUGCUCUCCUGCAGCAAAGCUUUGCUCCGAGCCUUUGGCUCACAGCCUCCUUCAAGGCAGGGAAGCCCAGAACAAACAAAACAGCUCAGGGCAGCCUGAGGUAGCCAAAUGGCCACCGGACAGAGGCCUGGCUUGCCAGGUGAGCGAGGGUUUGGGAACAGAACUGUUUCACCUGUGCUGCCCUGCCCCUACUUAGCACAAUCACAGGAAGGUUGGAAAAGGGAGGAGGGUGCAUUUUUUUUUUUCCUUCCCUCUAUGGAGAGCCAGGUUGUGUGGAGGUAUGAGCGCUAAGCACAGGGUGGAUAGGAGGCUGUACUUCCCCGCUUCCCUUGCGGGAGGAGGAGGGCAGAGCGGCCUGCGAAGAGGAAUUGCUACGAGCAACCACAAACAAAGCCUGGAACGGCUCCUCUCAGGUUCUCCCAGGAGCUUUCAAAUUCUGACCCGGGGCAGGGAAGCGCUGCCAAGACUGCGAUGAUAUGGUGCUUGGAGCGAGGUGUGUCAAUGAUGAAGGGGGAGGGAAAAGCCUCGGCCUUGCCAAUCCAUAGGCCGCGGGGGGGGCUGUGCUCUGCUCUGUGCUGUCUGAGGCCUGAACGAGCAUCCUCCCGAGCGUCCUCCCUCAUGGACAUGGGACUUUUAGGACUGAGAAAGUGCUGGAGCUGAAGGGCUGGGGCGAUGGAACCAGCAGAGCCUGAAGGCAGGCCUCACUGCCUCAGCAGCUGCUGUUCCUGCGAGGUGCUUUCAGAGAGAGGCACCAUGAGCGUCGCAGGGCUGCACAGACAGCUGCAGGCCUGCUGUGAUGGUUAUUGAGACCGUCAGAGGCCCGAGGACUGUGGUCCUGGACGCUUAAAGACACUGCAUUACUUUGUUUUGUAGCCUUCUCUGAGGGCUGCAGUUGGCGAGAUGAGGUGCGUAUGGCUUUGUCAAGGGAUGGCUGCUGGUGGUAGCACGUGCCCCCUGCCGCAGGCCUCGGCUGAGGAAUGUGGGAACCAGGGAAAAAAAAAAAAAAGGUCCUUGUGUACAGCAGUGUUUGGUCCCUGGGAAGGACGCAGCCAUUUUAGGGCAUAAUCUGAGCCGUGGUUUCUUGGAAGGCACGAUGGCCAUCGCCGUCCUCUUCCCAUUUGGCAAAAAAAUCCAAGGGAACUUUAAAGAUAGUUGGAUGUGAAUGCUGGUGCUUAUUUACCUGAUGCAAUCGGCUGCUUGUUCCAUUUAAAACUCUCUCAAUGCUUACAGUGUUUGUGCUCCCGAGCAGCGCAGGGAGCAGUGGAAUGGGUGUGCCGUGCUGAAUGUGAGCCAUGCCUGCUGGGGCUUUCUUCCACAUGGGCAGAGAUGAAUUGUUUCAAAUUAUGUUCAUCCCACCUUAAAUAGUGGCUUUGAUACUUUGUCUGCGCUGCCUGAGGGAUUUGGGAAGCUACCCAGUGAUUGACUUGCCUGCGCUAGCUUUGAACUCAUUAGUAGGUCAAGUUUCUAAACCGAGCCUUGUUCUCAGCCUGUGUAAGGAGAACAAAAACAGAAAGGUCCCUGAGCACAAUGGAGGAAAGGGAAAAAAGAUGCUACGCUGCGAAAAAUCCACAAUAGUAACGUGGAUGUUGUAAUCAAGCUGUUCCUCUCCUCAGCGCAGCUCUCCACAAGUGUCUCCAAGCACACACCUCUCAAGCUCUGAAGGAUGUGAGGUCUUAAAAGCCUAAGAAGAGGUUAAAUAGUUAAUUGUGUCCCUUGAUCUGUGUAAAGAUGGAGUCACCUAAACCCUCUUCCUACAGCUGUCCCUAUAGUAAGAGAAACGCUGAAAUAAUAGCAGAGGAGAAAGUUAUCAAUGAGGUGCUCUUAGAUGAGUUUUGGAGAAGUUUUUCCCCAGUUUCCCCUGGGCAUUGUUGGAACGAUGUCAAUCUACGUAAGACCAAAUCGUCUGUAACUCUGUGUUCCCCAGCCAGAGGCUGUUAUCAUAUGGACAAAACAUUAAGGAGCAGCGAGAGCAAGUUAAAGAACAGUUUCCAGAUUUAAAUCUGAAUUUCAUUGUUGUACGAAAGUUUACCUCAGAACUUAAGAUGAUGGAAAAACUGAUUCUGACCUUUUAUGUUUGAUUGCAAAUCCCUCUGAACGCCAACGUGCUGGCCAAGUUCCAGCUCACAGAGGUAAUGGUUCUUGUUAGACUACACCCCUCCUGAGGCUUUAUUCAGUGAAUGUAGUGUAAUUACUGCCCUUCCCCUCAUAUACAUGUGUAUGGUUGCAUAGUGCUGUUCAGCCAAACUCCGUCCACAGUGGAGAUCUUCAUUUUAAUGAAGCCCAUAGAGCAUGCAUGUUCAGAUUUCUUUCUCUAAAUCAUUCCCAGAAAGGAACAGAAAGAGGGAAGAGCAGCUCUGCUUCCUACUGGAAGAAUGGGUUUGUGCUGACCUUGUGAAAGUUCUGCCUGAGGACGGGCAGAGGGGGGUAUGAGAGGAUCAGAAGAGUGAUCCCGGUGUGUUCACAUGCUACAACUCCCUACCCACAGCCGUAAGCAAACACAUAGGUUCCUCUGUACAACUUCCUGGGGAAACCUCGUUAAGUGGCUGAGAAAUGCACCUAGAAAAAGGAAGCACUUCUGGGCACACGCAAACACUUUCGAGAGCGUGGUUCUGUGACCUGGCAAGAACCCCGCACAAGGCUGCACAAACAGCCCGGAGUCCUGGUGUGCUGAGGAAGUCAUCAUCUUUCCCACGUGUGUGGUGAUCAGUGUGAGCCAUUUAUAACAGUUACCCUAAUAGUCACAACUCCAAGUAUGAGAAAGGGGGUGGGGAGUGAUGGCAGCUGCAGCUGCUGGCUGUGGAGAUGGGCACAGAAAAAUGUGCACCUAUUAAUGAGCAUACUAUAGGCUCCUAUUUUUUUUUUUUUACUAUUAUUUUUUGUAUAGAGAAUCUUGUGAUACUUGAGUUACUUUUUACUUCCUAAAGCACUUAAUAGGAUCGAAAUCUUCUGUAUGAACUUGUCUGAGUAUGGAGGACUGUAUGUAAAUGGCAUCUCUGGAAACAGCAUCUACAGUUGCUGUCCUGCUCCCUCCGCUUUGAGAGAUGUCUCGUGCAUUGUUGCUGACCCACAAAGCAGUAAUAUUGAGUAACUGUCACUGAAACGCUUCUGGUUUUGUCCUCUGAGAUGACGAGGGAAGUUCCACUCUGACAGUGCUGAGUGGGUUUUGAACACGUGCUGGAAGAAACCCCCCUGCACAGUGCUGCGGUCUCGGUUUGUGCACUUGACCUGAGCUGUCGGAGUUCCAGCGUUCGCUGAUGUGCACACAGUGCUUAAACUGGGGCCAUUGGGUGGGCGAAAUGGAUUGAGAAGACAGUCUGCUGAUUUCUCUCUAAACCUUUGUUUGUUGCCUUGUGCUCUCCACCCUACGAUUUCCUCCCUCUCAUCCUGUACAAAUGCUGAAUGGAAACUCUGCUCACACCCUCUUUUUCCAAGUGCUUUCCCAGGACUAUUCCAAGUGCUCUCACUCACCCAGUUCAUCUCCCUGUCCUGCUUGGGGGAUAAUGACCACCACAACAAACGUGUAAAGAAAGUGUGAUGAAGACAGAAGUAAAAUUAAAACUAGCAAGAUUUAAGACCAAAAAAUAUAUAUAUAUUUUGUGUUCAUUCUAGAUCUUGAUGAAUCUGUAGCAUUUUCAUCUGUGACUGGCAGGAGGAAACUCAGUACAUUCCUUUUCCUACCAAAGUACACGUACUUGUUUAGAUGUUACCUCUCCACUUCUGUUGAACAAGGUGAACCUUGGGUACAGUUCGACCAGCUACAGCAAGUACAACCCAUGCUUGUAAGCAGACUGCCAGAAAAGGAGAUGUCUGCAGAUGCUAGCCAACCAUUCAGCACUGCACACCAGGCCAGCAGGGCAAAUCUGUACACGCAUGUUUGGGAAUGUGCUAAACUCACUUUGUUGCACGCAGAAGUCAAUUUUGUCUUUUCAGCUGUAUUUAAUUUUGUUCUGUAAAGAAAUAGACAGAUCUGGCCUUUCUUUUUAAUAAUGUUUUAGGAUCAGGGUACAAAAACGGUUAAUGUAUUAAUUUUUAAGACAAGUGAUAAAUGUAAUGCAGUAAGCACAUCCUACAUACACAAUAUAUUUCUCUAUAUAAUAUGAACACAGAUAUAAAAUAAGUUAUACUUGUAUUGUUUUUUUCAUCACAGUAGGAGCUCAGCUUAUAUAAAGUGACAACAGGAAUUGGAACAAAAUGCUGCUUUAAAGCAACAAAAAACAGAAGUGUCCGUGCAGGGGUGUGUGAAACAAAGUAGGAAAUCUAGGUAUUUCUGUCAAAAUGGGGUCUUGAAAAGAGAAAUUUUAUAGAGCAUUCAAGAGACAGGGAAGGUCUCUUGGCUCAGGGUAGAGGUUCUGAAGGGAAUAAAGUGUUACUGUGUGGUGAGGAGGAAGGUAGAUGAA